rnacentral:rRNA from 1 species
UGGGGAAUUUUGCACAAUGGGGGAACCUUGAUGCAGCGACGCCGCGUGAGGGAUGGAGGCCUUCGGGUUGUGAACCUCUUUCGCUCGUGUGCAAGCCGCUAUUUGGGUAGUGGUGAGUGUAGCGGGUAAAGAAGCGCCGGCUAACUACGUGCCAGCAGCCGCGGUAAUACGUAGGGCGCGAGCGUUGUCCGGAUUUAUUUGGCGUAAAGGGCUUGUAGGCGGUUUGUCGCGCCUGUCGUGUAAUCCUCUGGCUGAACUGGGGGUGGGCGGUGGGUACGGGCAGGAGAGAGUGGGGGAGGGGAGAAUGGAAGUCCGGGUGGAGAGGUGGAAUGCGCAGAUAUCAGGAGGAACACCGGUGGCGAAGGCGGGUCGCUGGGCAGUUACUGACGCUGAGGAGCGAAAGCGUGGGGAGCGAACAGG